rnacentral:rRNA from 1 species
GACGAACGCUGGCGGCGUGCUUAACACAUGCAAGUCGAGCGGUAAGGCCCUUUCGGGGGUACGACGAGCGGCGAACGGGUAGGAGUAACACGUGGGUGGACCUCGCCCUCCAGCUCUGGGAGUAAGACCCGGGGAAACCGUAGGGUCGUAAUAACUGGAGUAUGACUCCACCGGUGGCAUGCCGUCGGGGUGGGAAAGCCUUGUGCGGCUGAGGAUGGGCCCGGCCGGCCUAUCAGCUUGUUGGUGGGGUGAGUGGCCUACCAAGGCGACGACGGGUAGCCGGCCUGAGAGGGCGACCGGCCACACUGGGACUGAGACACGGCCCAGACUCCUACGGGAGGCAGCAGUGGGGAAUCUUGCGCAAUGGGCGAAAGCCUGACGCAGCGACGCCGCGUGAGGGAUGACGGCCU